UACGGCCCAGGGUAAAAAUAAAUAAAUAGAUCUAAGCAGAAACCCUAAUCUUACGACACCCCCAGAAGGAUUCAGCGGAACAAAAGAAGAUGAAGAUGCCUAUGAUGAUGAAGCAGGCGCAGACGAUUUUGACCAAGUAUGGUCGGAGGGGGAUUUCAUCCAUCGCCGAAUCCCCAAUGCCCGCGAGGGUCAAGCAUGUCUGGGAGACGCAGGACAAACUAGUUCUGGGUUUAGCGUUUGUGGGUGGAUGGUUCGCGAAAGCUUCCUUAAAUGUUUUGAAGAGAAGAGAGGAUUGGUACAGAGUUCACAAAUUUGUUGAUGAUGAGAAGAAGCGUCUUGAAGAGAAGCGUGCCCGUAAUGAAAAGGAAAUGGGUAUUGAUAUCUAGGAUGGUCAAGUGUGGACGUCCUUCUCUUGAAGAUGAAACCAAGUGAUUGCGUCUCUUUGUUUCUCUUUCGGUUUUUGUUUGCCAGUCAUUGUGUCUUUUAAAUCUUUUAUGUUUAUGUUGAUGAACACAUUAUCUGUAAGAACUACUACUUUAUGUUUGUGUCAUGUUUUAUCUGGGGCUUAGAUUGUGGCUAGAGAACUGUUAUGUAGAAAAUGAACUUUCCACCCUUAGGAUUUGGUUUUGUGCUCUGGAAUGUUUAGCUACGAGUCUGAUCUGAA